rnacentral:rRNA from 1 species
UACGGAGGGUGCGAGCGUUGUCCGGAUUUAUUGGGCGUAAAGCGCGUGUAGGCGGCCGGCUAGGUCUGGUGUGAAAACUCGAGGCUCAACCUCGAGAUGUCGCCGGAAACCAGUCGGCUAGAGUCCGGAAGAGGAGAGUGGAAUUCCUGGUGUAGCGGUGAAAUGCGCAGAUAUCAGGAAGAACACCUAUGGCGAAAGCAGCUCUCUGGGACGGUACUGACGCUGAGACGCGAAAGCGUGGGGAGCGAACAGG